AAAGACCUCUUUGGUCUUAUGUGUAUGAACAAGGGUUUCGUCGAAACCCGAGUAGCGUCGCCGCCUUCAUCUCUUCUCUCCCAUCGCGUCAUCGAGCUAAAAAUGGCAAAUUUGAUGUGUACAACUGCUUUAUGGAAGAGCUGCUCGAUCAAUUUGGGUAAAGCAUUAAUUUCUUAGCCACUUUCCACCGUAUCUCAAUCCAAAUGAGUUUCUUUUGAUCGAGUCCGCUGAGAAAAAGUAAAAGGGAAGCUAAUAUGUUUUGAAGGCCCAGCCAAUGGGUGAAAUGGCACUAAUGGGCUUGGGUAGGCCCAUCAGUUAAAAAUUUCAUUCUCCUCCUUUCUCCAUCUAUAUAUUUACGUGUAUAUAUUGUAUGUAUACUGAGUAUGUGAAUAUUGGAACCCUUGUGCAUGCUAGAACUUAGGAAGAACGCCUAGUAUUUUUAAGAGGAUGCCAAAAACUCUUUUUCCAAACUCGAUUAAUGUUUAAUUUCGCAUAAAACUAGAACUCGGUUUGAUAGUGAAUUUUUUCUCAAAUUUUGGUUAAACAACAUGGCUAAUUGUAACGAGAUCUUGCUUAAGUUUAAAAUGAAGCAACGUCUAGCAUAUUUUCCCUAAAGCUGGCCAAGAAAUAGAUUUCCAAGCUAUCAUCCGUGAUUUGUAAAAAAUAGGCGAACUAUUUAAAAUUUGGAACUGGUUGAAAACAAUCUUUUAUAAAACUCAAAGACCAUUUUAAAUUUGGGCUCGAUCUGGUUGCAUGCAUUCUUUAAAGAAUGGAAAUGGAUUUGGACUUGGUAAAAUCUAAUGAAUUCGGUUGAUUUGGGCUUGACAGUCCCAAAGCAAUAGUGACUAAAAAUGGUGAUAAAACUAUUUGGACCAAAAUUGAGGACUUUGGGUUUGGAAUACAAGUUGACUUAUGGGCUUGAAUGAUAAAAAUGGGCUUCGAAAGGGUUUUAUUUCUUUAUAUAUAUAUAAUGUAUAAAAAAUCAGAGAUAUACUUCAUAUUUUCUAGAGGAUCAUCAGAACCCUUACCUCGAACGUUGGUCCCAAUUUUUUUUACUUAUUUUUGAAAAAAAUUUUAAAUCCGGUUUUCCUAGUUUUCCAUAAUAAAUUAGGUGGCAACUCUAAAAAAAUACUAAAAUCCAAUUAGAACACCAACAACGUCGUAGUAACUUUUAUGCCUUAACCCACGUAAAAGCGAACUGUAACAACCAUUUCACACGGAUUCAAGAUGAAUCCCUCUAAAGCCGAAAGUCCCACAUCGAUACUUAGAAAAAGAUUUGGGGUUUUGGGGGUUCUAUAGCGAACUGUAACAACCAUUUCACACGGAUUCAAGAUGAAUCCCUCUAAAGCCGAAAGUCCCACAUCGAUACUUAGAAAAAGAUUUGGGGUUUUGGGGGUUCUAUAGAAAGAACUCCCAAGUCAGUAACACACACACACACACACACACAAAAGUCUCAAUAUUCAGAGCAAAAAAAACUCAAUAUACCUAGGGAUCUAGCCAUAUCUGCGGGAACCUUUAACUUAUUGAGUUUCCUAGUUUUUAAAUUUAAUUCUUUUGUUUGUGGUUAAGUUUUGAGGUGUGAGGAGCAAGAAGAUCUCCAAUUUCAAUCUCAAUUCAAGGCUGCACAUAAGAAAGGACCCUUGACGAUGCCAUUUGGGCCAACUUCUCAUAAACCUGUUGGGCUAGAGGCCCAACUCCUCUUGUGAUAGAGUCCGGGCGGAAUUAAAAAUAAAUUAGGCCCAACCAUGGAUGAAAAUGGUCAACUGGUAGGCUUAGGUAGGCCCACCAGCCUUCCCCUUCUUUUAUUUUCCCCUUCUUUUAUCUUUAUGUAGUUGUAAAUAUUGUUGUAAACAAAUACUUGUAAAUAUUGAAACUCGAUGGUUAGGACUUAGGAAUUUCAUGUAGAAGUUAGGAAAAACUUUCAAAACGAUUUUCCAAGUUUGGACACGGUUAAAGUAGAAUCAAUGCAUGAAAUUGGUAAUUGAAUUUUGGCAAAGUCCUUUUUUUAUUAAUGAAAAUUGGUAUAUGAUAUACAAGAUGUAUAAGGAAGAAAAAGAAAAAGCUGUUUUGGGUCCUUACACCCUUUCAAUAAAAUGGGACUGUUUUGAACGUUAA